rnacentral:rRNA from 1 species
AUUGAACGCUGGCGGCAUGCCUUACACAUGCAAGUCGAACGGUAACGCGGGGCAACCUGGCGACGAGUGGCGAACGGGUGAGUAAUGUAUCGGAACGUGCCCAGUUGUGGGGGAUAACUGCUCGAAAGAGCAGCUAAUACCGCAUACGACCUGAGGGUGAAAGCGGGGGAUCGCAAGACCUCGCGCAAUUGGAGCGGCCGAUAUCAGAUUAGGUAGUUGGUGGGGUAAAGGCCCACCAAGCCAACGAUCUGUAGCUGGUCUGAGAGGACGACCAGCCACACUGGGACUGAGACACGGCCCAGACUCCUACGGGAGGCAGCAGUGGGGAAUUUUGGACAAUGGGCGCAAGCCUGAUCCAGCCAUGCCGCGUGCGGGAAGAAGGCCUUCGGGUUGUAAACCGCUUUUGUCAGGGAAGAAACGCUCUGGGCUAAUACCCUGGGGUAAUGACGGUACCUGAAGAAUAAGCACCGGCUAACUACGUGCCAGCAGCCGCCGUAACAC